rnacentral:rRNA from 1 species
CCCUUAGAUGUUCUGGGCCGCACGCGCGCUACACUGAUGCAUUCAACGAGUUCCUACCUUGGCCGAGAGGCCUGGGCAAUCUUUUGAACUUGCAUCGUGAUAGGGAUAGAUUAUUGCAAUUAUUAAUCUUGAACGAGGAAUUCCUAGUAAACGCAGAUCAUCAAUCUGCAUUGAUUACGUCCCUGCCCUUUGUACACACCGCCCGUCGCACCUACCGAUUGAAUGGUCCGGUGAAGCCUCGGGAUUGUGGUUAGUUUCCUUCAUUGGAAGUUAGCCGCGAGAACUUGUCUAAACCUUAUCAUUUAGGGGAAGGUGAAGUCGUAACA